UAUCAAUUUUAGAUUCUUAAUUUAUUAUUUUUCACCUUACCUCACCUAAGUACAUCCUUAAAUAUCUUUAUUUUAAAUAUCUUGGUAUUAUGUUGCCAUAAAGCUGAUUAUUGUACUUCGUUUUAAUUUAAUUAUUGUCGGCAUAUGAAAUACACUAGAUAUAUUAAAUACAGGUGGAAUGAACAUACAUAUAUGAAAUGGCAUAACAACACAAAAUAAAUGCUUAGUUUCUC
rnacentral:lncRNA from 1 species